AUGUAAUGCAAUUCCUACAAUUUUAAUGCAUCGGAUCCCAUUAGAACAAUACAGUUAAGUGCGCUUGGGCUAGAGUAGUACUGGGAUGGGUGACCUCCCAGGAAUUCCUAGUGUUUUACAUA
rnacentral:rRNA from 1 species